rnacentral:tRNA from 1 species
UGGCUCAAAGGUUUAGAGCACUGGCUGUUCUUCCAGAGGUCCUGGGUUCAAUUCCCAG